AUGCCUCAAAUGAGUAUUCAGCCGGUG
rnacentral:piRNA from 1 species